rnacentral:rRNA from 1 species
UACGGAGGGAGCAAGCGUUACUCGGAAUUACUGGGCGUAAAGCGCGUGUAGGCGGCCAGGUAGGUCCGCUGUGAAAACUCGGAGGCUCAACCUCGAGACGUCGGCGGAAACCAUCUGGCUAGAGUCCGGAAGAGGAGAGUGGAAUUCCUGGUGUAGCGGUGAAAUGCGCAGAUAUCAGGAAGAAUAUCCGUGGCGAAGGCGGCUCUCUGGGACGGUACUGACGCUGAGACGCGAAAGCGUGGGGAGCGAACAGG